rnacentral:rRNA from 1 species
CCAAUAGCGUAUAUUAAAGUUGUUGCAGUUAAAAAGCUCGUAGUUGAACUUCGGGGUUUACUCAUUGGUCAGGCUUAAUUGUCUGUACUGGUGAGAUGAAUCUCUACCUUCUGAGGAACUUUCAUGCCAUUUAUUUGGUGUGCUGGGAAAUCAGGACUGUUACUUUGAAAAAAUUAGAGUGUUUAAAGCAGGCUAACGUAUGAAUACAUUAGCAUGGAAUAAUGAAAUAGGACGGACUGAUUCUAUUUCGUUGGUUUCUAGGAUCACCGUAAUGAUUAAUAGGGAUAGUUGGGGGCAUUAGUAUUCAAUUGUCAGAGGUGAAAUUCUUGGAUUUAUUGAAGACUAACUACUGCGAAAGCAUUUGCCAAGGAUGUUUUCAUUAAUCAAGAACGAAAGUUAGGGGAUCGAAGACGAUCAGAUACCGUCGUAGUCUUAACCAUAAACUACGCCGACUAGGGAUCGGACGAAGUUAAUUUUAUAAUGACGCGUUCGGCACCUUACG